rnacentral:rRNA from 1 species
CCUACGGGGGCUGCAGUGAGGAAUAUUGGUCAAUGGACGAGAGUCUGAACCAGCCAAGUAGCGUGAAGGAUGACUGCCCUAUGGGUUGUAAACUUCUUUUAUAUGGGAAUAAAACCGGGUAUGCCUACCCCCUUUUAUGUACCCUUUUAAUAAGGAUCGGCUAACUCCGUUCCCGCAGCCGCGGUAAUACGGGGGAUCCGAGCGUUAUCCGGAUUUAUUGGGUUUAAAGGGAGCGUAGGUGGAUUGUUAAGUCAGUUGUGAAAGUUUGCGGCUCAACCGUAAAAUUGCAGUUGAAACUGGCAGUCUUGAGUACAGUAGAGGUGGGCGGAAUUCGUGGUGUAGCGGUGAAAUGCUUAGAUAUCACGAAGAACUCCGAUUGCGAAGGCAGCUCACUGGACUGCAACUGACACUGAUGCUCGAAAGUGUGGGUAUCAAACAGGAUUAGAUACCCGAGUAGUC